UACGGAGGGUGCGAGCGUUGUCCGGAAUCACUGGGCGUAAAGGGCGCGUAGGUGGCGCGGGCAGUCAACGGUGAAAGUUCGGGGCUCAACCCUGAAUCGGCCGUCGAUACUCCCGUGCUUGAGCACUGUAGAGACAGAUGGAAUUCCGGGUGUAGCGGUGGAAUGCGUGAGAGAUCCGGGAAGAACACCGGUGGCGAAGGCGGUCUGCUGGGCAGUAGCUGACACUGAGGCGCGACAGCGUGGGGAGCAAACAGG
rnacentral:rRNA from 1 species